rnacentral:ncRNA from 1 species
UUAUGUUUAAAUAUAUUUUGUUAAAAUUAAAGUUUUAUUCUAGCUUAUAAAUUAGGUAUAAUUUUUAUUUUAUAUGUAAGGUUUAAAAUUCAUAUUUAAAUAGUUCAUUUGCAGUAUAACAUUUUAAAUAUUAAGGAUACUUAGAUUUGGAAAUAAUAUUAAAAAUUAACAAAAUUUGUGCCAGCAGUUGCGGUUACACAGAUAAUUUAAUUUAAUUUUUUUAGAUUUAUUAAAUUUGAAAUUAAUUUUUAUGAAGUUUAGGUUUAUUAGGUGAAAUUUUAAAUUUAAAAUAGUAUUAUUUAAUUUAAAUGAUAUGAGAGAUCUUAAUUUAAAACUAGGAUUAGAUACCCUAUUAUUUGAGAUGUAAAAUUUUAUUCUUAAUUAUUAAUAGUUAUGUUCUUGAAAAUUAAAGAUUUUGGCGGUAUUUUAGUCUAUUCAGAGGAACCUGUUCUAUAAUUGAUAAUCCACGAUUUAAGGUAUUUAUAUUAUUAAUUUGUAUAUCGUCGUAGUUUGAAUAUUUUAUUAGAAUUAUAAUAUUCAAGAUUUUUUAAAAGAAAAUAAAUCAGAUCAAGGUGCAGUUUAUGUAUAAAAAGAAAUGGGUUACAUUAAAUUUAUUUAUGGAAAAUUAAUUUUAAAUUUAAAAAGAAAUUGGAUUUGAUAGUAAUAUUAAUAAUUUAAUUAAUAUGAUUUUAGCUCUAAAAUAUGCACAUAUCGCCCGUCGCUUUCACUAUAAAGUGAAAUAAGUCGUAACAAAGUAGGCUUACUGGAAAGUGAGCCUAGAAAGAU